AUUGAAUGUGCCCAUCAAAGAACUUGGGACCAUGGAAAUUGAAGUUCUCUAAGGUGGCAACUGAAAAAUCUUGACCUGUGGCCCGCACUAGCUAUACCUCGUUGAAACAGAGCCGGGGUAGACUUGUUUACACGUUGGAAAGCACUUUCUUCAUACACCUCCUCUGUUUUCUCAGAGACCAGGAAACGGUCUCCAGGGAGAGCAUCAACUCAGUGUCAGGAGGAAAGAGAUUUGCACGGUUCAGUUAACUGAACAAGUUCUAGCAGUCAAAUUCCGACGCGAUGCUGAACGUAGUGGCUAUUUAAUCGGUGAUCUGUGUUGACCUACAUUGGGUUGGGGUUCACCAUCGCGUUGGGAGUUCUCCGGCCCCACGUCCAAAUUUUGAACGUUCACUCCCACGCGAAGGUCUCAGAACUCCGGAAGAUAACUUAGGCACAGACACUGUGGCGCCACUGGGCAGCUCUGCCAAAUUUUAAGUCAUGCUCCCUGCAGUGCCUUUAGCUAUGUUCAAAAAGAAAAGAGGCACCCACGAAAUCAACGUUCAGCAAGCGGCUCCCUUCUGCCAGUGCUUUCUUUGCACCUGCACGUCUCCAGGAUGGCACGGUGUUUGACCUGAAUGCAGACAUGUUCAUGGGGUAUGACUGGUGAUCAAAAGAGGAUACCACACCCCUUGGAACUGGAGUUACAAAUAGAUG